UACGUAGGGGACUAGCGUUGUCCGGAAUCAUUGGGCGUAAAGAGCGUGUAGGCGGCUUGGUAAGUCCGCUGUGAAAGUCCAGGGCUCAACCCUGGAAUGCCAGUGGAUACUGUCAAGCUAGAGUCCGGAAGAGGCGAGUGGAAUUCCUGGUGUAGCGGUGAAAUGCGCAGAUAUCAGGAGGAACACCAAUGGCGAAGGCAGCUCGCUGGGACGGUACUGACGCUGAGACGCGAAAGCGUGGGGAGCGAACAGG
rnacentral:rRNA from 1 species